UGCAAUUGUUUUGCUUGUUAC
rnacentral:piRNA from 1 species